GAAUUAUUGGGCGUAAAAGAGCUCGUAGGCGGUUUGUCGCGUCUGCUGUGAAAAACCUGAGGCUCAACCUCGGGCUUGCAGUGGGUACGGGCAGACUAGAGUGCGGUAGGGGUGACUGGAAUUCCUGGUGUAGCGGUGGAAUGCGCAGAUAUCAGGAGGAACACCGAUGGCGAAGGCAGGUCACUGGGCCGCAACUGACGCUGAGGAGCGAAAGCAUGGGGAGCGAACAGGAUUAGAUACCCUGGUAGUCCAUGCCGUAAACGUUGGGCACUAGGUGUGGGGCUCAUUCCACGAGUUCCGUGCCGCAGCAAACGCAUUAAGUGCCCCGCCUGGGGAGUACGGCCGCAAGGCUAAAACUCAAAGAAAUUGACGGGGGCCCGCACAAGCGGCGGAGCAUGCGGAUUAAUUCGAUGCAACGCGAAGAACCUUACCAAGGCUUGACAUACACCGGAAAAGUGCAGAGAUGUGCUCCCCGCAAGGUCGGUGUACAGGUGGUGCAUGGUUGUCGUCAGCUCGUGUCGUGAGAUGUUGGGUUAAGUCCCGCAACGAGCGCAACCCUCGUCCUAUGUUGCCAGCACGUCAUGGUGGGGACUCAUAGGAGACUGCCGGGGUCAACUCGGAGGAAGGUGGGGAUGACGUCAAAUCAUCAUGCCCCUUAUGUCUUGGGCUUCACGCAUGCUACAAUGGCCGGUACAAAGGGCUGCGAUACCGCGAGGUGGAGCGAAUCCCAAAAAGCCGGUCUCAGUUCGGAUUGGGGGUCUGCAACUCGACCCCAUGAAGUCGGAGUCGCUAGUAAUCGCAGAUCAGCAACGCUGCGGUGAAUACGUUCCCGGGCCNUGUACACACCGCCCNGUCAAGUCACGAAAGUUCGGUAACACCCNGAAGCCGNGUGGCCCAACCCUUGUGGAGGGGC
rnacentral:rRNA from 1 species